rnacentral:lncRNA from 1 species
AAUAUAUAGCAAAAUUAUGGUGGAUAUUUUCUCUCAAAAUCUUGUUGCAAUAUAUCUACUAAAAAUCUAAUCAAAUAUUUAUUAAAAAAAAUAUUACAAUUGGGUUUUGGUUUCUCACGUCUAAACACAUGAAUAAUCAAUCUUCCUUUGCUCCAUGCUUCUUCCUUUGUUAAUUGUUCCUUCUUCUGAGAAAUUUCAGUU